UAUAGUGAUAUUAUAAGUAUAUUAUGCUUUCUUUCCAUGUAAGAGAUCUCUGUUGUAGUAGAGUCAUUAUAG
rnacentral:tRNA from 1 species